GAAUAAUGCUGCCAUGCACGCGGUUGCACAAACGUCUCUUUGAUUCUCUGCUUUCAAAACUUGGACAGAGUCCUGAGCAAGGAAACCUAGAAGGGAGAGAGGAAUACCAUGGAAUUGAGUCCUGUCUGGUAGCACUGACAGACACAGUGGCCAGCCACCCUCAUGCCACCCUGUCCUGCCAUGGGAAGGAACAGCAGCUCUAGAGUUCCUAUGGGAACUCUCUUUCCUUCUCACUGAACUCUAGCUUCAUCAAUAACUCAGUGCCUCUGGCCAAGUUUUUAGCCUCUGGGACAACAUCCACUAUAUCCAUAUGAGGCACUCAUGUAACACGGUGAUUAAGAGUACAGAUGCUGAAGCCAGCAGCCUAAGUCUGAAUCCUGACUGCCAAUUAUUAAUAUAAGUUGUGGAACCAUGGUCAAGUUACUCAACCUCUUUAUGCCUCUGUCUCCUGGUCUACGAAAUGAAGCUUUGAAUCUGCUGUUAUUAAGUUGCUGGUGCUGAAAUAACACUUAUUAUUUAUGAUCUAACUGAAAUGGGAACACUGGAAACUUCUUUGAAACUGAAGAAAAAAAUGAAAAAGAAGUUUUUACAAUCAAAACUGCCAUGAAGACUGCUUUACCCAAAAUUUUGGUCCACAGCUUUCAUUGAAUUACUUAUCAGGGCAAACAAAGUUUAGCCAUGUGAACACGUUCCAAUUUUGUUGGAAAUAAUUUGGAUCCAGCUAUCUUUAUACAAUGAUAGAAUGACCACAACCAUAUUAACAAACCAAAAACCUGUGCACAGAAACAAGAUGAAGAAAAUAUAUCAAGAUGUUAACCACACUCUUUGGAUGGUGAAAACAUGGGGUGCCCUGCUGCCCACAGCAGUGUUCUCCAAGUCCAGGAAGAAGAGGAAAUGAUUUCCAGCAGUAUGGACACCAACAAUACACUGGUGUGAUGAUUGAUUCCCUUCCAAAUCUCAGGCCUGGUGCUCAGAUGUGGCACUUCCCUAACACUGCAGGAAGUCAUGGCAGACAUUCCUAGUUAACAAUAUUGUUACAAUGUGUUUUUCAUUCUCGCCUUCUGCCUAUGGCACUUCAUACUAGUUUUCAAUUUUUGCAGUGGCAUAGUCUUUCAUACAGAAACUUCCAGUUUUUUUUUUUUUAAUGCACCAGCUUAAGAAUACUGAGCAAAUAGUUUAGGUGGCAACAGGUCUAUGUGGUGAAACCUGUGCUGGUGGUACCGAGUGGAACUUCAAAAAUACGAGCCUUGGACUAAACUUUUGGGGAAGCGGAAUAUACUCCAAAUGGAGCAGCAGAAACUUCGAGGCCCUGGCACUUUCCCCUUGAACCUGUGCACAGCACAUGCUCUAUAUCUCCUACUGGGAAAGAAAGUGGUUAAGACUCACUGCUUCUUGGGUUCCUGGUGUGGGACCAGCGGUCUCGUGGCUCCAUGUCUCUGCUUCUGCCCCUCCGGUCCCAGUCCCGGUCACCUAAGCAGGUGAGACAUUCCAGUGGUUAACAAAGCUCUUUGACACACCUGUUUUCCCUGCAUGUGCACAAACACCCCUCUGGAAAGAGAUGCUACCCUCUUCCCACAAGGAGAUGGAUCCAAAACAGAGAGCUCCAGGUUCCCAGGCUCAUCUGGCCCCUUCUUUAUCAUAUACCCGCAACAUGGUUUCUGCAGGCUUUGCCCAAGUGGGGCUUGCUUCCAAGCAAGUUCCAAAGCUCAGUCCAGUAGCUAACCCCCACUUCAGACUCUUUGCUGGCUUCCCAGUUCCUAAGGGGCUGAGUCCACAUUCAGGAGAAUGGACUGCAGACCCCCUACUGUCUGGCAGCCGAUCUUAAAGUACACGUUAUUCUACUACAAAAAAAACAAAACCCAAGAAAACAACACACACACCCUCCCUGAAAGCAGUGCUCCCUAUAAAAGCUCACUGAAGCAUCUUUAAUGAACCUUCCUGAGGAGGCUGGGGGUACAGCUGGAAGCAGCCUGUUGCAAAUUCCAAAUAGCUUUAUAUACUUUAUCGU
rnacentral:lncRNA from 1 species